GCCAGUGUGGUAUAGUGGUUUGAAUGUUGGACUAGGACUUUGAAAGAUCAGGGUUCAAAUCCUCACUCAGCCA